UAUUCGGGGUUCACUCCCAACCCAUGUGAACAUACCUACUGUUGCUUCGGCGGGAUUGCCCCGGGCGCCUCGUGUGCCCCGGAUCAGGCGCCCGCCUAGGAAACUUAAUUCUUGUUUUAUUUUGGAAUCUUCUGAGUAGUUUUUACAAAUAAAUAAAAACUUUCAACAACGGAUCUCUUGGUUCUGGCAUCGAUGAAGAACGCAGCGAAAUGCGAUAAGUAAUGUGAAUUGCAGAAUUCAGUGAAUCAUCGAAUCUUUGAACGCACAUUGCGCCCGCCAGUAUUCUGGCGGGCAUGCCUGUCUGAGCGUCAUUUCAACCCUCAUGCCCCUAGGGCGUGGUGUUGGGGAUCGGCCAAAGCCCGCGAGGGACGGCCGGCCCCUAAAUCUAGUGGCGGACCCGUCGUGGCCUCCUCUGCGAAGUAGUGAUAUUCCGCAUCGGAGAGCGACGAGCCCCUGCCGUUAAACCCCCAACUUUCCAAGGUUGACCUCAGAUCAGGUAGGAAUACCCGCUGAACUUAAGCAUAUCAAUAAGCGGAGGAA
rnacentral:rRNA from 1 species